AUUGAACGCUGGCGGCAGGCCUAACACAUGCAAGUCGAGCGAGCGGCGGACGGGUGAGUAAUGUAUGGGGACUGCCCGAUAGAGGGGGAUAACUACUGGAAACGGUGGCUAAUACCGCAUACUAUCGGAUAACCCAUAUGGGAUUAGCUCGUAGGUGGGGUAAAGGCUCACCUAGGCGACGAUCUCUAGCUGGUCUGAGAGGAUGAUCAGACAGAGAGGGACUGAGAAACGGCCCAGACUCCUAGGGAGGCAGCAGUGGGGAAGAUUGCACAAUGGGGGCAAGCCGGAGGCAGCCAGGACGCGUGGAUGAAGAAGGCCUUAGGGUUGUAAAGUACUGUCAGCGGGGAGGCGUUACCCGCAGAAGAAGCACCGGCUAACUCCGUGCCAGCCGCCGCGGUAAUUC
rnacentral:rRNA from 1 species